rnacentral:lncRNA from 1 species
CUUGGGAGAUUAAUUUGGUCUUAUAUCUUGCUAAUUUGCUAACUCAAUUUGGUAAGCAAUUGGGUUAGGUUGUUCCACCUGGAAGCAACCAAAAAAGGGAUUCCACUUUUUAAGUUAACACCAAAUUACAAGAGUCCUCUUGGAUGAGGACUCUUGGUGCAAAGAAGAGAACUUGUGCGCGUGUUGGCAUGAGUAGAAGGAAGAGUCCUUCUGGCUUGGGAUUCAGAUACGUGUGGUAGCCUAC